rnacentral:rRNA from 1 species
AGAGUUUGAUCAUGGCUCAGAUUGAACGCUGGCGGCAUGCUUAAUACAUGCAAGUCGAACGGUAACAGAUCCUUCGGAAUGCUGACGAGUGGCGGACGGGUGAGUAAUACAUAGGAAUCUGCCCAUGUAGUGGGGGACAACUUGGGGAAACUCAAGCUAAUACCGCAUAAUUCCUACGGGAUAAAGAGGGCCACUGCUUGCAAGCUCUUGCUACUGGAUGAGCCUAUGUCGGAUUAGUUAGUUGGUAAGGUAAUGGCUUACCAAGACAGCGAUCCGUAGCUGGUUUGAGAGGAUGAUCAGCCACACUGGGACUGAGACACGGCCCAGACUCCUACGGGAGGCAGCAGUAGGGAGUAUUGGACAAUGGGCGCAAGCCUGAUCCAGCAAUGCCGCGUGUGUGAAGAAGGCCUGCGGGUUGUAAAGCACUUUCAAUUGGGAAGAAAGAUUAUGAGUUAAUACCUUAUAAUAUUGACG